AUUGAACGCUGGCGGCAUGCCUUACACAUGCAAGUCGAACGGUAACGCGCCUUCGGGUGCCGACGAGUGGCGAACGGGUGAGUAAUACAUCGGAACGUGCCCGAUCGUGGGGGAUAACGAGGCGAAAGCUUUGCUAAUACCGCAUACGAUCUACGGAUGAAAGCAGGGGACCGCAAGGCCUUGCGCGGACGGAGCGGCCGAUGGCAGAUUAGGUAGUUGGUGGGAUAAAAGCUUACCAAGCCGAUGAUCUGUAGCUGGUCUGAGAGGAUGAUCAGCCACACUGGGACUGAGACACGGCCCAGACUCCUACGGGAGGCAGCAGUGGGGAAUUUUGGACAAUGGGCGCAAGCCUGAUCCAGCCAUGCCGCGUGCAGGAUGAAGGCCUUCGGGUUGUAAACUGCUUUUGUACGGAACGAAAAGCCUUCUUUUAAUACAGGAGGGUCAUGACGGUACCGUAAGAAUAAGCACCGGCUAACUACGUG
rnacentral:rRNA from 1 species